rnacentral:rRNA from 1 species
UCAAGCGAACAAGGGCGCAGGGCGAAUGCCUUGGCACUGGGAGCCGAUGAAAGACGUGAUAAGCUGCGAUAAGCUUCGGGGAGCUGCAAAUAAGCAUUGAUCCGGAGAUUUCUGAAUGAGGAAACUCACCUGGGUUCAUACUCAGGUACGUUAUACUGAACUUAAAAAUAGGUAUAUCGAGGGAACCGCCUGAACUGAAACAUCUAAGUAGGGCGAGGAAGAGACAUCAAACGAGAUUCCGUAAGUAGUGGCGAGCGAACGCGGAAGAGGGCAAACCGGGAGUAGAAAUACUUCCGGGGUACGGACCGCAUUUAGGACUUAAGUUGUUAACCGAACGGCAUGGGAAGGCCGGUCAGAGAGUGUGAGAACCACGUAGGUGAAAACGACAAGAGCUGAGCGAGUUCCAGAGUACGGCCAGACACGUGAAACCUGGUCGGAAUACGGGGGGACCACCCUCCAACCCUAAAUACUACCCAGUGACCGAUAGCGUAUAGUACUGUGAAGGAAAGGUGAAAAGCACCCCGGGAGGGGAGUGAAAAAGAACCUGAAACCCUGUGCCUACAAGCACCUAGAGCACGUCAAUGUGUGAUAGGGUACUUUUUGUAGAACGGUCCGGCGAGCGAUUGUAUGCAGCAAGGUUAAGGACUUAAGGUCUGGAGCCGAAGCGAAAGCGAGUUUGAAAAGGGCGUUAAGUUGCAUACAAUGGGCCCGAAACCGGGUGACCUACCCAUGGUCAGGUUGAAGUGGAAGUAAAAUUCCAUGGAGGACCGAACCGACCUCCGUUGAAAAGGCGGCGGAUGAACUGUGGGUAGCGGAGAAAUUCCAAUCGAACCCGGAGAUAGCUGGUUCUCCCCGAAAUAGUUUUAGGACUAGCCUCAAGUUAGAUACCUGGAGGUAAAGCACUGAAUAGCCUAGCGGCCGAGAGGUUAGCGAAGCUUAUCAAACUCAGAAUGCCAGAGUAUUGAUGCUUGGGAGUCAGACAGUGUCAGAUAAAUGUCAUUGUCAAAAGGGAAACAGCCCAGAUCUACAGCUAAGGUCCCAAAGUCAGGUUAAGUGGAAAACGAUGUGAAGAUACGUAGACAACCAGGAUGUUGGCUCAGAAGCAGCCACACAUUCAAAGAGUGCGUAAUAGCUCACUGGUCGAGCGUCUUUGCGCGGAGAAUUUAACGGGGCUAAACCUGACACCGAAGCUUAGGCAAUACAGCAAUGUAUUGGGUAGGGGAGCGUUGUAUACGCGGUGAAACAGUAGCGCAAGCGGCUGUGGAGUGUAUAGAAGUGAGAAUGCCGGAAUGAGUAGCGCGAAUGCAGUGAGAAUCUGCAUGGCCGAAAGCCUCAGGUUUCUGGAGGAAGGUUCGUCCGCUCCAGGUUAGUCGGGAGCUAAGGUGAGGCCUAACGGCGUAGCCGAUGCACAGACGGUAGAGAUUCCGUCACCACCAAAAGAGUUAAACACAGGGACACAUUUGAAGUCUCGGAGCCGGGUGUUGGUUCCGGUAGCGAUCGAGGGAAAUUAGUACCGAAGUCCGGGAUGGAAGAUGGCGAGAAAAGCUGUGUGUAUUUCUGCGGUGCCCGUACCGCAAACCGACACAGGUAGGUAGGAAGAAGAUUCUAAGGCCAACGGGAGAAGGGUUGUUAAGGAACUCGGCAAAUUGACCCCGUAACUUCGGGAGAAGGGGUGCUCCAGAGAUGGAGCCGCAGAGAAUCGGCCCAAGCAACUGUUUACCAAAAACACAGGUUUGUGCUAAAUCGAAAGAUGACGUAUACGAGCUGACGCCUGCCCGGUGCUGGAAGGUUAAGAGGAGAUGUGCAAGCAUUGAAUCGAAGCCCCAGUGAACGGCGGCCGUAACUAUAACGGUCCUAAGGUAGCGAAAUUCCUUGUCAGGUAAGUUCUGACCCGCAUGAAAGGCGUAAUGAUUUGGGCACUGUCUCGACAGCCCGCCCGGCGAAAUUGUAGUACCGGUGAAGAUGCCGGUUACCCGCGACAAGACGGAAAGACCCCAUGGAGCUUUACUGUAGCCUAAUAUUGGGUUUCGAUGUUGCAUGCACAGGAUAGAUGGGACACAGGGAAACAAGUGCUUUGGCAUUUGUGGAGUGGCCGUUGGGAUACCAUCCUUGCGAUAUUGGAAUUCUAACCUGCGCCUUUGAAUCAAGGCGGGGGACAUUGUUAGGUGGGCAGUUUGACUGGGGCGGUCGCCUCCUAAAGAGUAACGGAGGCGUUCAAAGGUUCGCUCAGCUUGAACGGAAAUCAAGCAAAAGAGUGCAAACGCAGAAGCGAGCCUAACUGCGAGACUGACGGGUCGAGCAGUAACGAAAGUUGGAGUUAGUGAUCCGGUGGUAUGUGAGUGGAAAUGCCAUCGCUCAACGGAUAAAAGUUACCCUGGGGAUAACAGGCUGAUCUCCCCCAAGAGUCCACAUCGACGGGGAGGUUUGGCACCUCGAUGUCGGCUCAUCGCAUCCUGGGGCUGUAUUCGGUCCCAAGGGUUUGGCUGUUCGCCAAUUAAAGCGGUACGCGAGCUGGGUUCAGAACGUCGUGAGACAGUUCGGUCCCUAUCUGUCGUGGGCGCAGGAUAUUUGAUGGGAGCUGUUCCUAGUACGAGAGGACCGGAGCGGACGUACCUCUGGCGCACCAGUUGUUCUGCCAAGGGCAUAGCUGGGCAACUAUGUACGGAUCGGAUAAACGCUGAAAGCAUCUAAGCGUGAAGCCGACCCAAAGAUAAGAUAUCCCAUUGUUUCAAACAAGUAAGACCCCUUGAAGACUACAAGGUUGAUAGGCACGAUGUGUAAGUGGAGUGAUUCAUUCAGCAAGCGUGUACUAAUAGGUCGAGGGCUUGACCAC